GAAAAUAUCAACCUGACCAAUGUACGACGUUUGUGUUUCUAACAUUUUGACCUGUUUAACCCGUCCUACGCUGAACCGUCUGCUUCGUCUAACCCCGGUGUUGAACCCAGAUCACAGGUGUUUUCUGGCUGCAGGUGACCUGAUGGCGGCGUUGGCCUUCCCGUCCCUCCAGUCCUACACCUUCCACUGCGGCUGCUGUGCCAGGUUCAGACUCGCAGUAUUUGACUCUACUAGUCCUCACACCUCCGUAUUUCAUUCCUGUCUCCGUUCACUCUGUCCACAGCGCCCUGUUGGGUUUCUGUUGCUAUUGGCGACGGUCAAACUGAAAAGUGGACUGUCUGUUGAACACCUGAAGGUCUGGAUGUUUGUGGCCAAGGUUUCUGCCAUGUCUCUGUCUCCGUUUAUGUUUGACAUGGACAUGAAUGUUAACAGCUCUCAUUAGCGUCAUCGUGAGUCACGUCGGCGAAGCCACUGUUGGUUCAUUCAGAGAGAGAAACCUCAGCUGUAACGACAAAACGCCAAACGGACAAAUUGCACUUCAGAGAUUAACGUUUCCAUCUUUCAAUUUGAAUAUUUUCUCACUGAUAUAUUUUUUGUACUUCUCUCAGACGUGUUCUGAUCAAUUCCUGAUUU
rnacentral:lncRNA from 1 species